AUGUCUGGGGACGCUCGUCUGCGGCUUAUUAACUCCGUGCUCUCCGCCAUUCCGGUGUACUUAAUCACCAUUUUUAAGCUUGGUGCUUGGGCCAUCAAGCAAAUCGACAAGCUACGGCAGAACUUCCUGUGGCGCUCCCGGCCGGAGGCAGACAAGGGCAUUGCUCUGGUCAACUGGUCCACGGUAUGUCGCCCGAAAUACCUUGGGGGUCUUGGUGUGAUUGAUCUGAAGCGGUUUGGAAGGGCGCUGCGGCUUAGGUGGAAGUGGCUCGAGUGGCGGGACCAGAACAGGCCUUGG
rnacentral:rRNA from 1 species